rnacentral:rRNA from 1 species
AGAGGUCCCAAGCGUUGUUCGGAUUCACUGGGCGUAAAGGGUGCGUAGGUGGUCGGGUAAGUUUAAGGUGAAAGCUCCGGGCUCAACCCGGAAAUGGACCUUGAAUACUACUCGGCUCGAGGGUUGGAGGGGGGACUGGAAUUCUCGGUGUAGCAGUGGAAAUGCGUAGAUAUCGAGAGGAACACCAGUGGCGAAGGCGAGUCCCUGGACAACACCUGACACUGAGGCACGAAAGCUAGGGGAGCAAACAGG